rnacentral:tRNA from 1 species
GCCCCCGUAGGCUAAUGGAUAAACCACCUGACUACGGAUCAGGAUUUAGAGGUUCGAAUCCUCUCGGGGGUAC